UGGGGAAUUUUGGACAAUGGGCGAAAGCCUGAUCCAGCAAUGCCGCGUGUGUGAAGAAGGCCUUCGGGUUGUAAAGCACUUUUGUCCGGAAAGAAAUCCUUGGCUCUAAUACAGUCGGGGGAUGACGGUACCGGAAGAAUAAGCACCGGCUAACUACGUGCCAGCAGCCGCGGUAAUACGUAGGGUGCAAGCGUUAAUCGGAAUUACUGGGCGUAAAGCGUGCGCAGGCGGUCCGCUAAGACAGAUGUGAAAUCCCCGGGCUUAACCUGGGAACUGCAUUUGUGACUGGCGGGCUAGAGUAUGGCAGAGGGGGGUAGAAUUCCACGUGUAGCAGUGAAAUGCGUAGAGAUGUGGAGGAAUACCGAUGGCGAAGGCAGCCCCCUGGGCCAAUACUGACGCUCAUGCACGAAAGCGUGGGGGAGCAAACAGGAUUAGAUACCCUGGUAGUCCACGCCCUAAACGAUGUCAACUAGUUGUCGGGUCUUCAUUGACUUGGUAACGUAGCUAACGCGUGAAGUUGACCGCCUGGGGAGUACGGUCGCAAGAUUAAAACUUAAAUGAAUUGACGGGGUCAUAGCUGUUUCCUG
rnacentral:rRNA from 1 species